rnacentral:rRNA from 1 species
ACGGAAGGCAGCAGUGAGGAAUAUUGGUCAAUGGACGCAAGUCUGAACCAGCCAUGCCGCGUGCAGGAAUAAGGCCCUAUGGGUCGUAAACUGCUUUUGUGGUGGAGCAAUAAGUCGUACGUGUACGGCGAUGAGAGUACAUCACGAAUAAGCAUCGGCUAACUCCGUGCCAGCAGCCGCGGUAAUACGGAGGAUGCGAGCGUUAUCCGGAUUUAUUGGGUUUAAAGGGUGCGUAGGCUGUGGUCCAAGUCAGGGGUGAAAGCCCGGAGCUCAACUCCGGAACUGCCUUUGAUACUGGAUUGCUGGAAUACGGAUGCCGUGGGAGGAAUGAGUAGUGUAGCGGUGAAAUGCAUAGAUAUUACUCAGAACACCGAUUGCGAAGGCAUCUCACGAAUCCGUCAUUGACGCUGAGGCACGAAAGCGUGGGGAUCAAACAGGAUUAGAUACCCUGGUA